AGGGAAUAGAUACCCAGGUAGUCCUGGCAGUAAACGGUGCACGUUUGGUGUGGGCGCAAUCGACCGCGUCCGCGCCGGAGCUAAACGCGUUAAACGUGCCGCCUGGGAAGUACGGUCGCAAGAUUAAAACUCAAAGAAAUUGACGGGGACCCGCACAAGCGGUGGAGUAUGUGGCUUAAUUCGAUGCAACGCGAAGAACCUUACCUGGUCUUGACAUGCAUUGUGUCUCCGGUGAAAGCCGGAUAGGGUAGCAAUACCCGCUUUGCACAGGUGCUGCAUGGCUGUCGUCAGCUCGUGUCGUGAGAUGUUGGGUUAAGUCCCGCAAUGAGCGCAACCCCGUGUGAUUUGUUGCCACCGGCUUAUGCCGAGCACUCGAAUCAGACUGCCUCGAUCAACGAGGAGGAAGGUGGGAUGACGUCAAGUCCGUAUGGCCCUUACGACCAGGGCUGCACACGUACUACAAUGCCCAGUACAAUGUGAACCGAGACCGCGAGGUGGAGGAAAUCAAUAAAA
rnacentral:rRNA from 1 species